rnacentral:tRNA from 10 species
ACAUGGUCUAGCGGUUAGGAUUCCUGGUUUUCACCCAGGCGGCCCGGGUUCGACUCCCGGUGUGGGAAUGACUGGACCUUUCUUUUGGAACACAGUGAAACUCGUAAAUUUAUAAGCCUUAGCAAGAAGCUUAAAAACACGACUGUGAAAAGCUACAUAAUCCUUAAGGAUGUGUGGAGACCUGAAGACUCACCUCGUAGGUCACAACCCCGGCAAAACGGGCUGUGUAAUCAGCAUUGCUGUGUUUGCAUACCAAAUUUUCAC